GAUGAAGAACGUAGCGAAAUGCGAUACGUAAUGUGAAUUGCAGAAUUCAGUGAAUCAUCGAGUCUUUGAACGCACAUUGCGCCCCCUGGUAUCCCGGGGGCAUGCCUGUCCGAGCGUCAUUGCUGCCCUCAAGCACGGCUUGUGUGUUGGGCCUCCGUCCUCCUCCCGGGGGACGGGCCCGAAAGGCAGCGGCGGCACCGCGUCCGGUCCUCGAGCGUAUGGGGCUUCGUCACCCGCUCUUGUAGGCCCGGCCGGCGCUUGCCGACACAUCAAUCUUUUUUCCAGGUUGACCUCGGAUCAGGUAGGGAUACCCGCUGAACUUAAGCAUAUCAAUAAGCGGAGGA
rnacentral:misc_RNA from 1 species